rnacentral:pre_miRNA from 1 species
AAUUUCAGCUGAAAAAGUCAUCAACAACAAAGUUGUGUAACUUAUCAUGAUUUAUAACUUUUAUUUUGUUCAUUUCUUCAUCCAACAAAGUGAUAGUAACAUUUUCACAAAAAUUACAUAUCUCUCUUUUAUUAUAUAAAGUUAUAUAAGAGAUGUGUAAAUUUUAUGAACAAUGUAACUAUCACUCUGUCGGAUGAAGAAAUGACCAAAUAAAAGUUAUAUAUCUCGAUGAGUUAUACAACUUUGUUGUUGAUGACUUUUUAGUUGAAAUC